UACGUUCCCGGGCCUUGUACACACCGCCCGUCACACCACGAAAGUCGGCAACACCCGAAGCCGGUGGCCUAACCCUUGUGGAGGGAACCGUCGAAGGUGGGGUUGAUGAUUGGGGUG
rnacentral:rRNA from 1 species